rnacentral:rRNA from 1 species
GUGCAGCAGUCGCGAAAACUCCGCAAUACGCGAAAGCGUGACGGGGCUACCCCGAGUGCCGUCCGCUGAGGAUGGCUUUUCCCUAGUGUAAAUAGCUGGGGGAAUAAGGAGAGGGCAAGUCUGGUGUCAGCCGCCGCGGUAAUACCAGCUCUUCGGGUGGUAGGGAUGCUUAUUGGGCCUGAAGCAUCCGUAGCCGGCUGGACAAGUCUUCCGUUAAAUCCAGCGAUUCAAUCGUUGGAUUGCGAGGGAUACUGUUGAGCUAGGAGGCGAGAGAGGCCGACGGUAUUCCCGGGGUAGGGGUGAAAUCCUAUAAUCCCGGGAGGAGCACCAGUGGCGAAGGCUGUCGGCUAGAACGCGCUCGACGGUGAGGGACGAAAGCUGGGGGAGCGAACCGGAUUAGAUACCCGGGUAGUCC